rnacentral:rRNA from 1 species
UAAAAAUUUAAUUUUAAAUAUUUAAGUAGUAUUAGUUAAGUUCUUGAAAUUUAAAAAAUUUGGCGGUAUUUUAGUCUAUUCAGAGGAACCUGUUUUGUAAUCGAUAAUCCACGAUGUAUCUUACUUAAAUUUGUUUAAAUAAUUUAUAUAUCGUCGUUAUAGAAUAUUUUAUAAAAAAAAUAAUUUUCUAAAUUUUUAAUUUUAAAGUAUAUCAGAUCAAGAUGUAGUUUAUAUUUAAGUUUAUAAUGGGUUACAAUUGUUUUAUUAUUGGAAGUUAAUUUGUAAUAGUUUACUAAAAUUGGAUUUGAUAGUAAAAUUAUAUAGAUUAAUAAUU